GGUUCGAUGGUGUACUUGGUUAUCACAUCUGUCUAACAUAAGUCGCACCACUCCCAUGCACAGAAGGUCUUCAGUUCAAGUCUGGAUCGAACCA